rnacentral:lncRNA from 1 species
GAAACCUGAACUUGAGAACUAUUAUCAGAAUGUGCAGCCAUCUGCUGGAGAUACUUUGUAGAAGGGGGUACUGCCCCAGAAAGUAGCUUUUUCUGUGGCUGGGAAUGAUUCAUGGACUGAGAAGAAACUGGAGGUUUAGAUGGUUGGACAGGGCUCAUAACAGACCCAGAAUACAGGCCCUGACCUUGCAUUAAGUGCAUCAUCUGCUCUCCUUUCUCAGCAGCUUGGUUGCUAGAGGCCAUGCUAAGGCCAUUCAGAGGAGAAGGAUCAACAGAAAGGUUCUGAUGCACCUGCAUGUUCCCCCUCCCUGCUCCCUUCAAAAGUUUAGCUUGCUGCUGAGAUUGUGUUUGUUGCCGUUGCUGAGGGUGGUGCCUUCCAGAUUGUUGAAACUGCUGUUGUUGAAGCUGCCGCUGUUGUUGCUGGCCUAUCUGAUUGUUCAACCCACUAGCACCAGGUCGGGAACUCCUACCAAGCCCACGAGGCACCAAGUGGUUUUUUUGUUGCUGAUGUAAUGACAUAGGAGUUAUUGGCGUAGAUGGUGUUAGAGGGGAAAGCGAUACUGCCUGAGUUGAAGCUGGAGAUUGAAUCUGGGAACUACUCUGAAGAGAAGAUACGGGAAGUUGAGUCUGAGGUCGGACAUGUGGCUUCAAAGCAUUAGAUACAGCAAACUUUUGAUGUUGCUGAUGCAUAUGAGACUGCUGCUGCUGCUGCUGCUGCUGCUGCCUU